UAUGUGUGACUCUAUGUGUGUGUCUGUGUAGUUCCUGACCACUCUGUCUCAGUGGUGUACUCAAACUCAGUCUGUGGUUCUGAACAACCUGAAGCCUCGAAGCAAACGAGUCCAUGAGACGCGAGAGGAUUACCACAAGAACACACGAGGCAGCGUGGAGCCGGGGGUGGAGGCUCUGCUGCGGUCGGCGGGCGGCAGCCUGCUCCACCUGACUGUCUCUCAGUGUCCCCACAUCCUCACGGACCGGACGCUGUGGCUCGCCAGCUGCUACAGCCGCAACCUGACAACACUCACAUACAGGAGUUCAUCAGAUCCCAUCGGUCACGAAGUUCUCUGGGCCCUGGGAGCGGGCUGCAGGAACAUCAGCAGCCUGCAGGUGGCGCCGGCUCACCCCUGGUCAGCACGCGCACACACACACACAC